UACGUAGGUGGCAAGCGUUGUCCGGAUUUACUGGGCGUAAAGAGCGCGCAGGCGGUCGUCAAGUCGCGUGUGAAAGCCCCCGGCUCAACCUCGGGAGGCGAGUGGAUACUGCUCAGCUCGAGUCCGGAAGAGGAGUGUGGAAUUCCUGGUGUAGCGGUGGAAUGCGCAGAUAUCAGGAGGAACACCGGUGGCGAAGGCGGGGUCUCUGGG
rnacentral:rRNA from 1 species